UUUAAAGUGUAAUGUAAGUCGCUUUGGAUAAAAGCGUCUGCUAAAUGACACGUA
rfam:Gasterosteus aculeatus cont1.007235, whole genome shotgun sequence.